rnacentral:rRNA from 1 species
AGUGAACGCUGGCGGUAGGCCUAACACAUGCCAGUCGAACGGCAGCACAGUAAGAGCUUGCCCUUACGGGUGGCGAGUGGCGGACGGGUGAGGAAUACAUCGGAAUCUACUUUUUCGUGGGGGAUAACGUAGGGAAACUUACGCUAAUACCGCAUACGACCUACGGGUGAAAGCAGGGGAUCUUCGGACCUUGCGCGAUUGAAUGAGCCGAUGUCGGAUUAGCUAGUUGGCGGGGUAAAGGCCCACCAAGGCGACGAUCCGUAGCUGGUCUGAGAGGAUGAUCAGCCACACUAGAACUGAGACACGGUCCAGACUCCUACGGGAGGCAGCAGUGGGGAAUAUUGGACAAUGGGCGCAAGCCUGAUCCAGCCAUACCGCGUGGGUGAAGAAGGCCUUCGGGUUGUAAAGCCCUUUUGUUGGGAAAGAAAAGCAGCAGGUUAAUACCCCGCUGUUCUGACGGUGCCCAAAGAAUAAGCACCGGCUAACUUCGUG